UUGGGGUCGAGUUGUAAUUUGCAGAGGGUGUUUCGGGCACGGUGCCGGUUUAAGUCCUUUGGAACAGGGCGUCAUAGAGGGUGAGAACCCCGUAUGUGACCGGUCGCCAAACCCAUGUGAAACCCCUUCGACGAGUCGAGUUGUUUGGGAAUGCAGCUCAAAAUGGGUGGUAAAUUUCAUCUAAAGCUAAAUAUUGGCCAGAGACCGAUAGCGCACAAGUAGAGUGAUCGAAAGAUGAAAAGCACUUUGGAAAGAGAGUCAAACAGCACGUGAAAUUGUUGAAAGGGAAGCGCUUGCGACCAGACCUGCUCGCGGGUGAUCAGCGGUGCUUUUCGCGCCGUGCACUCAUCCGCGAUCAGGCCAGCAUCGGUUCAGGCGGCCGGAUAAAGACUCGGAGAAUGUAGCUCCCUCAGGGGAGUGUUAUAGCUCCUUGUGCAAUACGGCCAGCCGGGACCGAGGACCGCGCUUCGGCUAGGAUGCUGGCGUAAUGGUCGUAAGCGACCCGUCUUGAAACACGGACCAAGGAGUCUAACAUCUGUGCGAGUGUUUGGGUGUCAAACCCAUGCGCGCAAUGAAAGUGAACGUGAGGUGGGAACCCUUUCGGGGGCGCACCAUCGACCGAUCCAGAUGUCUUCGGAUGGAUUUGAGUAAGAGCACAGCUGUUGGGACCCGAAAGAUGGUGAACUAUGCCUGAAUAGGGUGAAGCCAGAGGAAACUCUGGUGGAGGCUCGCAGCGGUUCUGACGUGCAAAUCGAUCGUCAAAUUUGGGUAUAGGGGCGAAAGACUAAUCGA
rnacentral:rRNA from 1 species